UACGUAGGGACCAAGCGUUGUUCGGAUUUACUGGGCGUAAAGGGCGCGUAGGCGGCAUUGUUAGUCACUUGUGAAAUCUCCGGGCUUAACUCGGAACGGCCAAGUGAUACUGCAGUGCUAGAGUGCGGUAGGGGCAAUCGGAAUUCUCGGUGUAGCGGUGAAAUGCGUAGAUAUCGAGAGGAACACCUGAGGUGAAGACGGGUUGCUGGGCCGACACUGACGCUGAGGCGCGAAAGCCAGGGGAGCAAAC
rnacentral:rRNA from 1 species